UGCAGGGACACACUGCCAGGGCUUAGGAAUGAAGCAGAGGUCACACUGUCUGUGACAAAGGGCGUACCAGCUUUUGGAACUGUUCACGUGGACAGACACCUGGAUAAAAGUAUAACCAACAAGGCCCCGCUGUGGGAUAGGACUGUUAUCCUCAGGCCUGUAACCAUCCAUCCGGACCUCAGGUGGGCAGAACUUGUGAUGGUGAUAUCUUAGAUAGAUAGGGUUGUCCCACAC
rnacentral:lncRNA from 1 species